CUCUAUGGCCAUACCACCCUGAACAUGCCAAUCUCAUCUGAUCUCGGAAGCUAAGUAGGGUUGUGCAUGAUUAGUACUUGGAUGGGAAAACAAGAAAUCAUUUUUU
rnacentral:rRNA from 1 species